ensembl:snoRNA small nucleolar RNA SNORD17
GUGAGUGAUGAACGUGUUUAUCCAUUCGCUGAGCGCUGCCGGCCCCUUUCCUGCAGCACUGGUGUCUGUUCUAGACCCCCGGUGUUCAGCUUCCUGCUCCCCUGCUGUUGCUCCAGUGUUCUGCUGGUGCAGCUGCUGCGGGACGUAGCAAGCAGGUGCAGGGUCUGAGGGCUCGACAAUGGCCAAGACGAGUGUAAACUUCUGAUCAC